rnacentral:lncRNA from 10 species
GCUGUGUCCACACCCAAAUCUCAUCUUGAACUUUAGUGCUCAUAAUCCCCAUGUGUCAUGGGAGGGACCCAAUAGCCGGUAAUUGAAUCACGCGGACAGUUUCCUCAUGCUGUUCUCAUGAUAGUGAGUGAGUUCUCACGAGAUCUGAUGCUAUUAUAAGGGGCUUUCCCCAUUCAUUCUGCACUUCUCCUUGCUGUCAUCAUCUGAAGAAGGAAUUAUUUGCUUCCCCUUCUGCCAUGAUUAUAAGUUUCCCGAGGCCUCCCCAACCAUGCUGAACUGAUUAUGGCUUGGAGCCUCAAAUCACUUUGUGAUUCAAGAUGGCAACUGGAAGAAAGAGGAGAUAACAAAAAGGGCCACCAGACCCCAGGUAGAACUCUGCUCACAUUCCUCCUUCCAAGCUACACCUAAGCCUAGGCCUAGGCCUCUGAUGGAGUUUCACCAAGCAACGAGCAUGGAAAGGAGUGCAACUAGUUUGCAAACCUUUAUGAUGUGGAUGAGGCAUGAUUCGGACAACAAACACAGGAAGACAACCUCUCAUGGGAAAGGCCAUCCUUAGCCUGAUGUCCAAGACAAUAGAGAUUCUGGAACAUUGCCUGAAACUUUUAUCUUCUGGCCUUCACACAUGCGGUUCCUCUCCCUAGAAUAUUGUCUUUUUUCCCCCUUUCCUUGCCCCACCCAAACCCUGACUUCACUUGAAAACUCUUAUUUUUCUUUCAGACUCAACUUGAAACUCACUUCCUCCAUCAAGCCUUCCCCAAUCCCCUAGACCAAGUGAGAGAAGCCCCCAUUAUGGGCCCCUGUGGCCCCCUAUACUUAGCUUAGUAUAACAUAUGUCAUCAUUUAUCAAACUUUCUUGUUUUAUUGCCCUUCUUCCUUACUGGAUUAUGAAUUCCAUGAAAGCUGAAAAAUUAUGUCUGCCUUAUUGCCCAAUUCAUUUCCAUUCCCUGUACAGGUAAUUGCUGAAUAAUAGAGUAAGUGAAUGAAUGAAGAAUCAACACAUCUCCUACCAGUACAGAGUACUGAAUUCUGAAUUCCUUUUUCUGAAAAUCCUAAAAAGCAGGGUCAAUGGUUAUAUAUCUAAGAUGAACUAACUGUCUUUUCCAGGUCCCUUCUAGUCCCACAAUUCCUUUAUUUUUUAAUCAAAACUGCCAACACAAGUUUUAAAUUAAUAAUAGCAUUGUCGUCAUUAUUUCACCACUUCAGUAGAUGAGUGCCUGAGAUGCAGGUGACUAGAAGGACUGGCCUCAUCUAAUCAAGCCCUGAACAGCACUUGUCUCGAGGUGUGAGGGCAACCAUUCCACUCUCCACAUUAAUGCCAUUAGGUAAAAGAGACAAUAAGGAGAUUUUUGUGUAGUAGAAUUCUCUAGCAUAUACAGUUUUACCCUUGCCACCGAUUAAUUUACCAACCUCACAAUCUUUACUCCAGGGUAAACAGAUUUAAAACAAAAAAGUUGAAGUCUCAUGGUAGCCAGGUGAAUUUCUGUGCAAAUAUUUUACUAUGUUCAUCUGACAAAAAUAAUUCAGGACAUGCCAUUCUUAACAAUCACCUCUGUCAAUACUACUGAUUAAUCUGCAAUUUCUUUCACAGUCGGAAUAACGGCAUUGAUCAAUUCAGUGGACACCUUUGAGCAUAACAUAAAGGAUUUGAUAUACCCUUCAAGAUGAACUAGGGGCCUUUGUCUUUGGCACUUUCUAUUACUUUCCUGUAUGGCCAAACUAUGAGACUUGACAGCUUACUCUUGAGUUUGUAAACUGGAAUAUUCAACAAAAACUAAAAUUGCAGAAAAGCGUCAGUCAUUCAUAUAAAGUACUGCUUCUUAAUUUCCAUAUUCCCUGAAGGAGCCACCUCUACCCAUUUUAACCUAUGUUAGAUGAGAAAACUGAGGCACUGAGGAGUCAAAG